rnacentral:misc_RNA from 1 species
GAUGAAGAACGCAGCGAAAUGCGAUAAGUAAUGUGAAUUGCAGAAUUCAGUGAAUCAUCGAAUCUUUGAACGCACAUUGCGCCCGCUGGUACUCCGGCGGGCACGCCUGUCCGAGCGUCAUUUCAACCCUCAAGCCCUCCUUCGGGAUGGGCCUGGUGUUGGGGCUCGGCCGCCAUCUCCGGCGGCCGUCCCCUAAAUACAGUGGCGGUCACGUCGCGACUCCUUUGCGUAGUAGAAACACCUCGCUCCGGAUAGCAACGCGGUCCACGCCGUAAAAUCCCCAAUUUUCAAUGGUUGACCUCGGAUCAGGUGGGAAUACCCGCUGAACUUAAGCAUAUCAAUAAGCGGAGGA